rnacentral:lncRNA from 1 species
UGCUAAUAAUGCUAGUAAAUGCUAAAUAAAAAAAUAUUUAAAAUGUCUAUACCUUUGACUCCAAGAGAUCUCAUUGUUAGGCAUAUACUUCUAUACUCUAAGAUGAUAACCAAUAAAAUGAAAGUCUCAUACACAACAAAAUAUGUUUACCACUACUCUUUGUAAUGGCAGGGAACUGGAAACAAAAUAGAUGCCCACGGAUUGGGGAGAGAAAUAAACAAAUGAAGAACAUGAAGUAAUGAAAUACUUAUUGCUGUGCUUUAAAGAAACAAUGAAUAUAAAAAAUAUGGAGCACUGGAAGACUUGAGAUAAAAAGUAAUCUCAACAAAAUCAUGAAAACAUAUGCAUUGAUAAUGAUAAUAUAAAUGGCAAGAAUAAUCACAUCAUCAAUACCAAUACUGUGAUAUAAUGAGUAUGCUUGGUCUCAAAGAAGAAAUAUAGGGAGGCAUGAUCUUCUGGAUCUCCUUUACAACCCUCGUAAAGAGCCUGCCAUCACAGCCACAACCACAGCCACAGCCACCACCACCACCCAGGCCAACUGAUUAAUUACUACUGAUGGUCAGCAAGCGCUAGGCAGGUGGCCAAACUUUUCCCUAGGCGGGAUCCCAUUACAGGGCACUGUGAAUACAGGUGUGAAGGACUCGGGCGCUGGGACAUAUUCCCACCCAGAGGAGGUGAGUGUCCCUUCGCAGGGUUGUGUUAGUUGCCUGCUUCCCUCUUCUUCUCUGAAGGGGGACCCCAGUGCUGGAGAGCGUCCCCAAAGUAGCCUGGCAGGGUUCCGCGACAAGACCGUUGCUAAGCCUCCAGCUCCUUCCCCAAAGCUGCAACAACAGUCCCUGAACCCUUCAGCCUACAUCCUUACACUCUGAUCCACACAGUGGUUUGAACCCCACCUUGGGCCACAGACGUAUCGGUUUGUAGGGGAGAACUCCUCUUCCCCGGACUAAACCAGCAGCAAUUCACAGCCCGAGCUGGGGAUGGAGCCCUGGGCUAGGUGCCAGCUCCCCUGUGUCCUAUUCCCGGUCCUGCGGGUGACUCACUCUGGGGCUUGGUGGCCUCCCCUCCCAUGCUGGGGCUGCUUCUCUUUUCUCAGCUCCCUCCAUCCUUGGCCGGGACUACUCAGACUCUGACAUUUAAGGGAACCCCCCAGAGAGCGGUCAGGGUUGCCAAGGAGAGAAGUCUCUGGCUCCAAAGAUUGAGGUAUGGGGGGCUAGAACAAGUGGACUAGACUGAGGACAGAGAGACAGAGAUCUUAGAAGAAACUGUAGAAGAAACUCCCCGUAUUAAGGGACCAGGGGAGGAAGGGCAGGUUUUGGAGUAAGGAGGGAGAAGUACAAUAGACCUGGAGGCAAGGGGGUCAGCUGGAUUGAGAGCCAAGCCUAGAGACGGGAGGUUCUGUGUUCAAAUUUGAACUUAGACACUUCCCAGCUGUGUGACAUUGGACAAGUCAUUUAACCUCCAUCAUCUAGCCAUUACCAGGUCUGCCUUGGAACCAAUACACAGUGUGGAUUCUAAGAUGGAAGGUAAGGGUUUAAAAAAAAAAAAGAGAGAGAGAGACCUGGAGACAGUCUUGUUCUGGAAGGAAGGAAGGUUGGUAGAGAAAGUGGGGUGGGGUUAGUGGAGGAGGCAUUCUGCCAAUAUUCCUGGCCAGUGGGAAGGAGGGGAUGAAAGGGCCCUUCAUAUAGGGGCAGUGCACAGGAAACCCAUCCAACCACCAGUGUGUGAUCUGAGAAAACGGCUGAGACCUGCAGCCCCCAGGUUGGCAAAUCCUACAUGGCAUAGUCGGAAGGCAAUCACCAACUGGAACAGCUGGUCCACACCCCUUCUCUCCUGCUCCUCCCCCUUCUUCUUCCCCCGCUGGCUGUUGGC